rnacentral:tRNA from 1 species
UAGCUCAGUGGUUAGGGCGUUAGACUCGAGAUCGAAAGGUCCCGAGAUCGAAUCUCGC